rnacentral:lncRNA from 1 species
AAAGAAAAAAUCAUCCCUUGACAGCACAAAGACGCAGACUAAGGGCACAAAUCUCGAAAGGAGAUUGAAAAACUAAAAAAACUAAACAAAAACAACUUAAUAUCGAAAAUGAGGAUAGUCAUCCAUUUCAUCCGACCAACGUCCAUGAGCAAUAUUAUUCAUUGCACGCAUACUGGGCUAUUGGUAAGGUCAACCACAAACUCUCUCGGCUUGUAACCCAUUUCUUCCGCAUUCCUAAGGCGACUUUUAAUGCCA